AAAAAAACUGGAGCGAAACCAGGUUUGGCUUAUUACUACAGUUCUCGUUAGGAUAAUUCAGAUACCACAUUCCGGAGUGAGCAUUCAUUUUCUUGUCUACCAUGCAAGUUAAUCUCCUUCAUGAAUCCAUAUUAAUUUUCCAUGGAGGCGUGCCGUUAACGCAGCUUUGAUGCAGUCAUUUCAUGACACUGGCUUAAAGUUUGAACUGGAUUUUCAUGAAUCAAGACAGCAGCUGGGCAUUACAAGGACCGCAACACCCGGCUACCAGAAAGGGACUUGGGGUGUGCUGACAUUGCUCCUGGGAAUUUCCACAUUGCGAUGACCAGGCGGACCUGAAUCAAGGUGCAAGAUUUGGUCAAGGAUACACCAUACACUGUCUAGGCAUAUUGAAUUUUGGUUGAGAAGACGGAUCAUACACGACGCCAAAGUUGUCUGCGCUUGGUUUUUUGUGCUCCUUCCUACGGUCAUUUAUGUGAACUUAUGAUGUCACUCAUGAUCAAACUGUACGCAGAAAAUGGACUGCAACCAAGAUCAGGAGCAGAUGCAACCAAGCGAGGCUUUUUCACCACGGAGAUUGGGCAAUGACUCAUGAGAUGUACUCUGCCGGCGGCUGAACCUUAUCCAGGGCCCUCUGAUGCUGACCGUGAGUUCAUCGCGCUGGGCGGCUAGGGAGUGGCACACUGUUCCUUUCAUUAUGGGCCUUAAUCAUGAUCAUAAUGGCCGACCCGGCAAAUCCGAGGCGAGAUUACCAGUAAAUCUGGUGAGUAAACCUGGUUGAUGGAUGGUGUCUGCUGCAAUGCAGCCCCUGGAGCUUGUGAUGGUGGUAGUGGGUGAUGGGUCCUUUUCCACGCUCUAUUAGCCUACUAACUAGAGCCUUUUUUUGAUCUGCCUUUUGUGCCGCGCGUGCAUCUGAUUUUUUUGGCCAAAAUACCCAUAAUGGACAAGCAUAUCAAGGAUGGUGGCCUGGUGGGUGGAUGCAAGUGCAACCGUAGGGAACAUUUCUGCUGAAAACUGCUUUCUAGGUUUGAAAUGCUCUGAUUUGGAUGUUAUGUUUCAAUUGGUUUGAUCAUUGGCAGCACUCUAUAUUUUCCAAUAGCCUUUUUAGCUUGAAUACGUCAAAAAUCUGUGUACAGCCCACACAUUACAAUAUUACAUGCCGAUCUCGUUACGAGCUUCAGCUUCAUCCUACAGCCCUCUUUGUCUGUGGUCAUACCAGGGUGUUAAGUUGCUUAUGUACAACAAAAACAUAUUAUCU